UACCGCGACUCAAUCAGUUUGUAUCACUGUGGUACACGUUCGGUGGAGGAACCAGACUGGAUGUUGGACGUGAUGUCCGUCCCUCCCUGACGGUGCUGCCCCCCUCCACAGAGGAGCUGCAGCAGGGGAAGGCCACGCUCAUGUGUCUGGCCAACAAGGGCUUCCCCUCAGACUGGAGUCUGUCCUGGAAGGUGGACGGCAGCAGCAGCCUCAGCAGCUGGGAGGAGAGCAGGAGCCCCGGGGUGCUGCAGGAGGACGGCCUCUACAGCUGGAGCAGCACCCUGAGGCUCCCUGCAGACCAGUGGGGGAAGGUGGGCUCUGUGAGCUGUGAGGCCACCCAGGGCUCCCAGACUCCACUCUCAGAGACACUGAGGAGAGACCAGUGUUCCCAGUCCUGACCUCACCCACUGGGAACAUCACACUGGUUCUGUUCUGAUACUGUUCUCUGUUUUUCUUUCUCUCUUUGGCUCUUUCAUUUCUAAUGACUCCAACUUACCAUUAUUAUGAUUCACCUUCAGUGAUGCUGAUACUGUUCAUGCUUCAAAACAAUAAAGAUUUGUCUCUGAUUAUCAA